GAGAGAGAGAGGAGAGAGAGAGAGAGAGAGAGAGGUAUGCUGUAAUGUUAGUAAUUGCCUUUUUGUUGCGAUAUUACCCCACUCCUAUCUCUUCUGGGGCUUUCUCUUCUUCUCUCUCUUCAUUUCUCCUCGAUUUGUUCACCCAUUUUGUAAGCGAAAUUGAAGAAAAUGAAGGGAAAGGAAAGAGGAAAAUGGGGGGCGAGAAGGAAAGCAAAGAAAAGGAAACA
rnacentral:ribozyme from 13 species